ACAUGUCGGCGUCAUGCGAGAAUCGCCACGGCGAGGGUGGAGGAAUCCGGUGUGAAUCCGGAACGGUCCCGCCACUGUGAACGGUAGCUCGACGCCGUGAGUCAGGACGUCUAUCCCGCUGCCGGAGAUGUCA
rnacentral:ncRNA from 2 species